UAUGACCUAUAAUAGGAUGGCUCCUCUUCCCUCUAGUCAUCAGAAGAUAAGUCAGGUCUAUCUAUGACCUAUAAUAAGAUGGCGUCUCUUCCUUCCAGUCAUCAGAAGAUAAGUCAGGUCUAUCUAUGACCUAUAAUAAGAUGGCUCCUCUUCCUUCCAGGAAAAUAAUACAAGGGGAGGAGUUACCUUUCCUGCGUCUCCGCCUCUUCUUCCUGGACUCCACCUGAAGCUCGGAGCACCUCUUCUGAAGAGCCAGGAAUUUC